rnacentral:rRNA from 1 species
CUACGGAGGGUGCAAGCGUUGUUCGGAAUUAUUGGGCGUAAAGAGCAUGUAGGCGGACUGUUAAGUCUGGUGUGAAAGCCCGGGGCUCAACCCCGGAAGUGCAUUGGAUACUGGCAGUCUUGAGUAUGGGAGAGGAAAGUGGAAUUCCGAGUGUAGGAGUGAAAUCCGUAGAUAUUCGGAGGAACACCAGUGGCGAAGGCGGCUUUCUGGACCAAUACUGACGCUGAGAUGCGAAAGCGUGGGGAGCGAACAGGAGUAGAUACCCUAGUAGUCC